rnacentral:rRNA from 1 species
AUUGAACGCUGGCGGCAGGCCUAACACAUGCAAGUCGAGCGGAUGAUGGGAGCUUGCUCCUUGAUUCAGCGGCGGACGGGUGAGUAAUGCCUAGGAAUCUGCCUGGUAGUGGGGGACAACGUUUCGAAAGGAACGCUAAUACCGCAUACGUCCUACGGGAGAAAGCAGGGGACCUUCGGGCCUCGCGCUAUCAGAUGAGACUAGGUCGGAUUAGCUAGUUGGUGGGGUAAUGGCUCACCAAGGCGACGAUCCGUAACUGGUCUGAGAGGAUGAUCAGUCACACUGGAACUGAGACACGGUCCAGACUCCUACGGGGGGCAGCAGUGGGGAAUAUUGGACAAUGGGCGAAAGCCUGAUCCAGCCAUGCCGCGUGUGUGAAGAAGGUCUUCGGAUUGUAAAGCACUUUAAGUUGGGAGGAAGGGCAGUAAGCUAAUACCUUGCUGUUUUGACGUUACCGACAGAAUAAGCACCGGCUAACUCUGUGCCAGCCGCCGCCGUAAAAC